AAUAGAGUUCGGAAAAGUCGCCCAGAAACCUGGGUCAGGGGAGACCUACCGUCUAAUAAGUCUCCCCUGACCUGGGAUGCUGUGACUUCCCUGAAGUCUACCCCCUUUUCCUAAACCUCACCAAUCCUUUCCUUUCACCCAUCUUCCUUCCCUUCCUUCUGCCAGGAGGAGGAGCCACUGGCUAUCCAGUUACAUUAUGUUUUUGGAAAUUGAUUAUUUUUGUUGAUGUAAUCAUGCAACGAACUGACAUCAGUGACAAGUGACAGACAUAUAAUUGUUUAGGACAAUUAAGAUAAACCAUACAAGUUAGUUAGGAGCUCAUACCGUAUGCGAUUGCAGUCUUUCUCGGCGUAUUCCACCAACGAAUUCUUCUCAGGUUAUCAGCAGAGUGGUGGUGUCGUCUUGUUGCAACGUUUCUAUGAGUUUCGUACCCAUCAUAGUCGCCAGUAAGUAAUGGGUACAAAACUCAUUGAAACGUUGCGACAAGACAACGCCACCACUCGGCUCAAAACCCAAGAAGAAUUCAUCAGCUCAUACCUUUAGCAAACCUUGUCUUUGUCUAUAUACGGCUUGCUUACAGUGUACAGUGGAUAAGUCAGCUUUUAUGGUCUCCUGUUAUCAUUCACAAUAGCAUACACAAUUUUUGAUGAUGAUAAAAAUAUCACACACAUUGUAGCUGUCUGUUGUUGUUGUUGUUUUUGUUGUUGUUUUUAUUUUCAUAAAUAAUUAUAUCCUUGUAAUAUUUUUCUUCAAAACUCAUUCUGAGUACUGGACUCAUGUUUUCUCAGAGAUGGAGACAAAUUCUGCCCAAAAUAUCCAUAAAUCACUGAAGGUUACUGAUGGCAUAAUUGCUUCAAAUGAUAUGUGGCCAUUGCAGUUGGUCUUGAACAGGGUAAAGGCCUACCUGUAUAUAUUUCCACUAUGCAACUUUGCACUUUCAUAUAGCCAGUGAGAGGGUAGUUUUAGAUAAAUCGAAAGGUGAGGUAUCUUGAGCAGCAAAAUCGAAAUCUUUCAUUGUUAUUUGCACAUUAUUCAUGAUUUCAUUAGCCACAGCCUCAACAUUUGCUUGCUACUUGUUUGAAUUAGAGGUUGUUUUGUCAGUCUGAUUUGUAGCUUUAUUUAAGGGCUAGGUUGGGUUCAAAGGUGAUAGCUCAGUUGUGAAUUGAGAAAGCCUAAAAUAUAAUAUUAUGACAAGUAGCUAAUUGUUGGAAUGAAAGUUUGUGAUGUCAGACUAGUUUGUGGCAUAGUGUGGUGUCUAGAUUAGACUGAGAGGCCAGAGAGUGUGAUAUUACAAGAAACUCUACUACAUGUGCUGAAAAAUUCAGGUGGUUAUUCAGAAAACAAAGUAAUCACUGGUUUCACGUUAAUUGGGCUGAGAUUUCACAAAGAUGAGAGAAACCUGUCAGUGGUUAAUUCUUUGGUGAACUGGGUGCAUCAGUCUCCUGUCUUGUGGUACAAAGACAAGAAGUUGUAUUGAACUUAUUAGCUGUGAAAGAUUUGUCAUAAAAGAUUAGUGGAAAUUGCGUGUAGCCUGUAUGCAUGUGGACAGCGAUUUCAUUCCAUGCUCAUUUUACAAAUGGCAGAAGAAAGAUGGCAAAUGACUAUUCAACCUGGUGUUCUUUGAAUAUGUCAAGUAUUACACUAGCCAUUUGUUAUGUAGCUACAGUAUCAAUGUGGGAAAAAGAC